GACGAACGCUGGCGGCGUGCUUAACACAUGCAAGUCGAACGAUGACGACCGAGCUUGCUCGGUCUGAUUAGUGGCGAACGGGUGAGUAACACGUGAGCAACCUGCCCUUCACUCUGGGAUAACCUCGGGAAAUCGGGGCUAAUACCGGAUAUGAGCUCCUGUCGCAUGGCGGGUGUUGGAAAGUUUUUCGGUGAAGGAUGGGCUCGCGGCCUAUCAGUUUGUUGGUGAGGUAGUGGCUCACCAAGGCGAUGACGGGUAGCCGGCCUGAGAGGGGGACCGGCCACACUGGGACUGAGACACGGCCCAGACUCCUACGGGAGGCAGCAGUGGGGAAUAUUGCACAAUGGGCGAAAGCCUGAUGCAGCGACGCCGCGUGAGGGAUGACGGCCUUCGGGUUGUAAACCUCUUUCAGCAGGGAAGAAGCGAAAGUGACGGUACCUGCAGAAGAAGCGCCGGCUAACUACGUG
rnacentral:rRNA from 1 species